rnacentral:rRNA from 1 species
CCUACGGGCUGCUGCAGUGGGGAAUAUUGGACAAUGGGCGAAAGCCUGAUCCAGCCAUGCCGCGUGUGUGAAGAAGGCCUUCGGGUUGUAAAGCACUUUCAGUGGGGAAGAAAGCCUUGGGGCUAAUACCCUCGAGGAAGGACAUCACCCACAGAAUAAGCACCGGCUAACUCCGUGCCAGCAGCCGCGGUAAUACGGAGGGUGCGAGCGUUAAUCGGAAUUACUGGGCGUAAAGCGCGCGUAGGCGGUCUGAUAAGCCGGUUGUGAAAGCCCCGGGCUCAACCUGGGAACGGCAUCCGGAACUGUCAGGCUAGAGUGCAGGAGAGGAAGGUAGAAUUCCCGGUGUAGCGGUGAAAUGCGUAGAGAUCGGGAGGAAUACCAGUGGCGAAGGCGGCCUUCUGGACUGACACUGACGCUGAGGUGCGAAAGCGUGGGUAGCAAACAGGAUUAGAUACCCGGGUAGUC